rnacentral:rRNA from 1 species
CCUACGGGUGGCUGCAGUGGGGAAUAUUGGACAAUGGGCGAAAGCCUGAUCCAGCCAUGCCGCGUGUGUGAAGAAGGCCUUCGGGUUGUAAAGCACUUUCAGUGGGGAAGAAAGCCUUGGGGCUAAUACCCUCGAGGAAGGACAUCACCCACAGAAGAAGCACCGGCUAACUCCGUGCCAGCAGCCGCGGUAAUACGGAGGGUUCGAGCGUUAAUCGGAAUUACUGGGCGUAAAGCGCGCGUAGGCGGUCUGAUAAGCCGGUUGUGAAAGCCCCGGGCUCAACCUGGGAACGGCAUCCGGAACUGUCAGGCUAGAGUGCAGGAGAGGAAGGUAGAAUUCCCGGUGUAGCGGUGAAAUGCGUAGAGAUCGGGAGGAAUACCAGUGGCGAAGGCGGCCUUCUGGACUGACACUGACGCUGAGGUGCGAAAGCGUGGGUAGCAAACAGGAUUAGAUACCCGUGUAGUC